AUUGAACGCUGGCGGCAGGCUUAACACAUGCAAGUCGAGCGGGGUGAUGGUGCUUGCACUAUCACUUAGAGGCGGACGGGUGAGUAAUGCUUAGGAAUCUGCCUAUUAGUGGGGGACAACAUCUCGAAAGGGAUGCUAAUACCGCAUACGUCCUACGGGAGAAAGCAGGGGAUCACUUGUGACCUUGCGCUAAUAGAUGAGCCUAAGGCGGACUAGCUAGUUGGUGGGGUAAAGGCCUACCAAGGCGACGAUCUGUAGCGGGUCUGAGAGGAUGACCCGCCACACUGGGACUGACGCACGGCCCGCAAUGCGACGGGAGGCAGCAGUGGGGAAUAUUGGAAAAUAGCGGUAACGCUGAUCCAGCCAUGCCUCGUGGGUGAAGAAAUCCUUGUGGUUGUAAAGCACUUUAAGCGAGGAGGAGGCUCUUUUGGUUAAUACCCAAGAUGAGUCGACGUUACUCGCAGAAUACUCACCGGCUAACUCGGUGCCAGCCGCCGCCGUAA
rnacentral:rRNA from 1 species